rnacentral:rRNA from 1 species
UGGGGAAUUUUGGACAAUGGGCGAAAGCCUGAUCCAGCAAUGCCGCGUGUGUGAAGAAGGCCUUCGGGUUGUAAAGCACUUUUGUCCGGAAAGAAAUGGCUCUGGUUAAUACCUGGGGUCGAUGACGGUACCGGAAGAAUAAGGACCGGCUAACUACGUGCCAGCAGCCGCGGUAAUACGUAGGGCUACCAGCUGAUUACGGAAUUACUGGGCGUAAAGCGUGCGCAGGCGGUUGUGCAAGACCGAUGUGAAAUCCCCGAGCUUAACUUGGGAAUUGCAUUGGUGACUGCACGGCUAGAGUGUGUCAGAGGGGGGUAGAAUUCCACGUGUAGCAGUGAAAUGCGUAGAGAUGUGGAGGAAUACCGAUGGCGAAGGCAGCCCCCUGGGAUAACACUGACGCUCAUGCACGAAAGCGUGGGGAGCAAACAGGAUUAGAUACCCUGGUAGUCCACGCCCCUAAACGAUGUCAACUAGUUGUUGGGGAUUCAUUUUCCUUAGUAACGUAGCUAACGCGUGAAGUUGACCGCCUGGGGAGUACGGUCGCAAG